rnacentral:rRNA from 1 species
GAUGAACGCUGGCGGCGUGCCUACUACAUGCAAGUCGAGCGAACAGACGAGGAGCUUGCUCCUCUGACGUUAGCGGCGGACGGGUGAGUAACACGUGGAUAACCUACCUAUAAGACUGGGAUAACUUCGGGAAACCGGAGCUAAUACCGGCUAAUAUAUUGAACCGCAUGGCUCACUAGUGAAAGACGGUUUUGCUGUCACUUAUAGAUGGAUCCGCGCCGCAUUAGCUAGUUGGUAAGGUAACGGCUUACCAAUGCAACGAUGCGUAGCCGACCUGGGAGGGUGGUCGGCCACACUGGAACUGAGAUACGGUCCAGACUCCUACGGGAGGUAGCAGUAGGGAAUCUUCCGCAAUGGGCGAAAGCCUGACGGAGCAACGCGGCGUGAGUGAUGAAGGUCUUCGGAUCGUAAAUCUCUGUUAUUAGGGAAGAACAAAUGUGUAAGUAACUAUGCACGUCUUGACGGUACCUAAUCAGAAAGCCACGGCUAACUACGUGCAAGCAGCCGCCGUAA